UGCCGUUGUUAAAACGGAGGAAGGUGGGGACGACGUCAAGUCAUCAUGGCCCUUAUGGCCAGGGCGACACACGUGCUACAAUGGUCGGUACAAAGGGCCCCGAGACCGUGAGGUGGAGGAAAUCCCAGCAAAGCCGGCCCCAGUUCGGAUUGCAGGCUGCAAUUCGCCUGCAUGAAGUUGGAAUCGCUAGUAAUCGCGUAUCAGCCAUGACGCGGUGAAUAUGUUCCUGAUCCUUGUACACACCGCCCGUCAAGCCACGAAAGCGGGGAGCGCUCGAAGUCGCUUUGUCCAACCCUCGGGAGGACGGCGCCGAAAGUGAGCUCCGUGAUUGGGACUAAGUCGUAACAAGGUAACCGUA
rnacentral:rRNA from 1 species